UUUCGCAAUGCCCGAAAGGGUGACGAAGCGACGCCGCGUGUGGGAAGAAGGCCUUCGGGUUGUAAACCACUGUCGGGAGUUAAGAAAUACAAGGAUAUUAAUAGUGUCUUUGUUUGACUAAGGCUCCGGAGGAAGCCACGGCUAACUCUGUGCCAGCAGCCGCGGUAAUACAGAGGCGGCAAGCGUUGUUCGGAAUUAUUGGGCGCAAAGAGCACGUAGGCGGCUAUAUAAGUCGGUUGUGAAAGCCUUCCGCUCAACGGAAGAACAGCAUCCGAUACUACAUGGCUUGAGUGCGGGAGGGGAGAGUGGAACUUCUGGUGGAGCGGUGAAAUGCGUAGAUAUCAGAAGGAACGCCGGCGGCGAAAGCGGCUCUCUGGCCCAUAACUGACGCUGAGUGUGCGAAAGCUAGGGGAGCAAACGGGAUUAGAUACCCCGGUAGUCCUAGCCGUAAACGAUGGGCACUAAGUAGAGGGGUUUU
rnacentral:rRNA from 1 species